rnacentral:rRNA from 1 species
AUUGAACGCUGGCGGCAGGCCUAACACAUGCAAGUCGAGCGAGCGGCGGACGGGUGAGUAAUGCCUGGGAAUUGCCCAGUCGAGGGGGGUAACAGUUGGAAACGACUGCUAAUACCGCAUACGAUUGUAUUGCACAGGUGGGAUUAACUAGUUGGUGAGGUAAUGGCUCACCAAGGCGACGAUCCCUAGCUGGUCUGAGAGGAUGAUCAUCCACACUGGGAGUGGGACACGGGCCAGACUCGUACGGGAGGCAGCAGUGGGGAAUAUUGCACAAUGAGGACAACCCUGAUGCAGCCAUGCCGCGUGUGUGAAGAAGGCCUUCGGGUUGUAAAGCACUGUAAGCGAGGAGGCGUUACUCGCAGAAGAAGCACCGGCUAACUCCGUGCCAGCAGCCGCGGUAAUUC